UACGGAAGAUCCAAGCGUUAUCCGGAUUUAUUGGGUUUAAAGGGUGCGUAGGCGGCCUGUUAAGUCAGGGGUGAAAGACGGUAGCUCAACUAUCGCAGUGCCCUUGAUACUGAUGGGCUUGAAUGGACUAAAGGUAGGCGGAAUGAGACAAGUAGCGGUGAAAUGCAUAGAUAUGUCUCAGAACACCGAUUGCGAAGGCAGCUUACUAUGGUCUUAUUGACGCUGAGGCACGAAAGCGUGGGGAUCAAACAGG
rnacentral:rRNA from 1 species